UGGGGAUUAUUGCACAAUGGGCGCAAGCCUGAUGCAGCCAUGCCGCGUGUGUGAAGAAGGCCUUCGGGUUGUAAAGCACUUUCAGCGGGGAGGAAGGCGAUAAGGUUAAUAACCUUGUCGAUUGACGUUACCCGCAGAAGAAGCACCGGCUAACUCCGUGCCAGCAGCCGCGGUAAUACGGAGGGUGCAAGCGUUAAUCGGAAUUACUGGGCGUAAAGCGCACGCAGGCGGUUUGUUAAGUCAGAUGUGAAAUCCCCGGGCUCAACCUGGGAACUGCAUCUGGUAAUGGCAAGCUUGAGUCUCGUAGAGGGGGAUAGGAUUCCAGGUGGAGCGGUGAAAAGCGUAGAGAACUGGAGGAAUACCGGUGGCGAAGGCGGCCCCCUGGAAAAAGACUGACGCUCAGGUGCGAAAGCGUGGGGAGCAAACAGG
rnacentral:rRNA from 1 species